rnacentral:rRNA from 1 species
ACGGGGUGCAGCAGGCGCGAAAACUUUACACUGCACGACAGUGCGAUAAGGGAACUCCGAGUGCGAGGGCAUAUAGUCCUCGCUUUUCUGUACCGUAAGGUGGUACAAGAAUAAGGACUGGGCAAGACCGGUGCCAGCCGCCGCGGUAAUACCGGCAGUCCAAGUGAUGGCCGCUAUUAUUGGGCCUAAAGCGUCCGUAGCCGGCCAGACAGGUUCGUCGGGAAAUCUGCUCGCUCAACGAGCAGGCGUCCGGCGAAAACCAGCUGGCUUGGGGCCGGAAGAUCUGAGGGGUACGUCCGGGGUAGGAGUGAAAUCCUGUAAUCCUGGACGGACCACCGGUGGCGAAAGCGCCUCAGAAAGACGGACCCGACGGUGAGGGACGAAAGCUAGGGUCACGAACCGGAUUAGAUACCCGGGUAGUCCUAGCUGUAAACGAUGCUCGCUAGGUGUGGCGUUGGCUACGAGCCAGCGCUGUGCCGUAGGGAAGCCGAGAAGCGAGCCGCCUGGGAAGUACGUCCGCAAGGAUGAAACUUAAAGGAAUUGGCGGGGGAGCAC